AUCCCUAUCACCUGGGGAUCUGAUUAGAAUGCAGAUUCUGAUUCAGAGGCUUGGGGUGAGAUUCUUGAGACUCUGCAUUUCUAAUAAACUCCCAGGUGAGGUAGAU
rnacentral:pre_miRNA from 1 species